rnacentral:rRNA from 1 species
UACAGAGGUCCCGAGCGUUGUUCGGAUUUAUUGGGCGUAAAGGGUGCGUAGGCGGCGGAGUAAGUUGGGUGUGAAAUCCCGGGGCUUAACCUCGGAAUUGCAUUCAAUACUGCUUCGCUUGAGUACUGGAGGGGAGGCUGGAAUUUACGGUGUAGCAGUGAAAUGCGUAGAUAUCGUAAGGAAGGCCGGUGGCGAAAGCGAGCCUCUGGACAGUUACUGACGCUGAUGCACGAAGGCCAGGGGAGCAAACGGG